AUGAUGACAAGGGGAGAGACUGUGCAUACAGCGCCGAAGGAGCAAGCACGUUUCCGUGUGAAUCUCUCAGGCAAAAAGACUCUUGUUGGACG
rnacentral:ncRNA from 2 species